rnacentral:rRNA from 1 species
GUCCCAGUUCGGAUUGCAGGCUGCAACCCGCCUGCAUGAAGUUGGAAUCGCUAGUAAUCGCGGAUCAGAAUGCCGCGGUGAAUACGUUCCCGGGCCUUGUACACACCGCCCGUCACACCAUGGGAGUCGGUAACGCCCGAAGUCAGUGACCCAACCUUAAGGAGGGAGCUGCCGAAGGCGGGACUGGUAACUGGGGUGAAGUCGUAACAAGGUACC